AAGCCACGGCUAACUACGUGCCAGCAGCCGCGGUAAUACGUAGGGUGGCGAGCGUUAUCCGGAAUUAUUGGGCGUAAAGGGUGCGCAGGUGGUCGUGUAAGCGUGUGGUUAAAGGCAGGGGCUUAACCAUUGUAAGCCCUGAUAACUGUGAGACUAGAGUACAGAAGAGGAAAGCGGAAUUCCUAGUGUAGCGGUGGAAUGCGUAGAUAUUAGAAGGAACACCAGUGGCGAAGGCGGCUUUCUGGUCUGUAACUGACACUGAGGCACGAAAGCGUGGGGAGCAAAUAGGAUUAGAUACCCUAGUAGUCCACGCCGUAAACGAUGAGUACUAAGUGUCG
rnacentral:rRNA from 1 species